GGCAGGCCUAACACAUGCAAGUCGAGCGGUAACAGAGAGUAGCUUGCUACUUGCUGACGAGCGGCGGACGGGUGAGUAAUGCUUGGGAACAUGCCUUGAGGUGGGGGACAACAGUUGGAAACGACUGCUAAUACCGCAUAAUGUCUACGGACCAAAGGGGGCUUCGGCUCUCGCCUUUAGAUUGGCCCAAGUGGGAUUAGCUAGUUGGUGAGGUAAUGGCUCACCAAGGCGACGAUCCCUAGCUGGUUUGAGAGGAUGAUCAGCCACACUGGGACUGAGACACGGCCCAGACUCCUACGGGAGGCAGCAGUGGGGAAUAUUGCACAAUGGGCGCAAGCCUGAUGCAGCCAUGCCGCGUGUGUGAAGAAGGCCUUCGGGUUGUAAAGCACUUUCAGUCAGGAGGAAAGGUUAGUAGUUAAUACCUGCUAGCUGUGACGUUACUGACAGAAGAAGCACCGGCUAACUCCGUGCCAGCAGCCGCGGUAAUACGGAGGGUGCGAGCGUUAAUCGGAAUUACUGGGCGUAAAGCGUACGCAGGCGGUUUGUUAAGCGAGAUGUGAAAGCCCUGGGCUCAACCUGGGAAUUGCAUUUCGAACUGGCAAACUAGAGUGUGAUAGAGGGUGGUAGAAUUUCAGGUGUAGCGGUGAAAUGCGUAGAGAUCUGAAGGAAUACCGAUGGCGAAGGCAGCCACCUGGGUCAACACUGACGCUCAUGUACGAAAGCGUGGGGAGCAAACGGGAUUAGAUACCCCGGUAGUCCACGCCGUAAACGAUGUCUACUAGAAGCUCGGGUCCUCGGACUUGUUUU
rnacentral:rRNA from 1 species